rnacentral:rRNA from 1 species
UACGUAGGGGGCAAGCGUUGUCCGGAUUCAUUGGGCGUAAAGAGCGUGUAGGCGGCCAGGUAGGUCGGUUGUGAAAACUGGAGGCUCAACCUUCAGAGGUCGACCGAAACCAUCUGGCUAGAGUCCGGGAGAGGAGAGUGGAAUUCCUGGUGUAGCGGUGAAAUGCGCAGAUAUCAGGAAGAACACCCGUGGCGAAGGCGGUUCUCUGGGCAUUACCUGACGCUGAGGAGCGAAAGUGUGGGGAGCGAACAGG